GCGGGGCAACCCGCAAGUAGAGUGGCGAACGGGUGAGUAAUACAUCGGAACGUGUCCAGUAGCGGGGGAUAACCUGUCGAAAGAUAGGCUAAUACCGCAUACGACCUACGGGUGAAAGCGGGGACCGCAAGGCCUCGCACUAUUGGAGCGGCCGAUGCCGGAUUAGCUAGUUGGUGGGGUAACGGCCUACCAAGGCAACGAUCCGUAGCUGGUCUGAGAGGACGGUCAGCCACACUGGAACUGAGACACGGUCCAGACUCCUACGGGAGGCAGCAGUGGGGAAUUUUGGACAAUGGGGGCAACCCUGAUCCAGCCAUGCCGCGUGAGUGAAGAAGGCCUUCGGGUUGUAAAGCUCUUUCGGCGGGGACGAAACGGUCUGUGCUAAUACCACGGACUAAUGACGGUACCCGAAGAAGAAGCACCGGCUAACUACGUGCCAGCAGCCGCGGUAAUACGUAGGGUGCAGGCGUUAAUCGGAAUUACUGGGCGUAAAGCGUGCGCAGGCGGUCUGUUAAGACAGGUGUGAAAUCCCCGGGCUUAACCUGGGAAUUGCGCUUGUAACUGGCAGGCUGGAGUGUGGCAGAGGGGGGUGGAAUUCCAAGUGUAGCAGUGAAAUGCGUAGAUAUUUGGAGGAACACCGAUGGCGAAGGCAGCCCCCUGGGCUAACACUGACGCUCAUGCACGAAAGCGUGGGGAGCAAACAGGAUUAGAUACCCUGGUAGUCC
rnacentral:rRNA from 1 species